AAAUAUUUAGUUUAAAAAAAAACAUUGGUUUGUGGAACCAUAGAUCUUAAUAUUUU
rnacentral:tRNA from 1 species